GACGAACGCUGGCGGCGUGCUUAACACAUGCAAGUCGAACGGAAAGGCCCUGCUUUUGUGGGGUGCUCGAGUGGCGAACGGGUGAGUAACACGUGAGUAACCUGCCCUUGACUUUGGGAUAACUUCAGGAAACUGGGGCUAAUACCGGAUAGGAGCUCCUGCUGCAUGGUGGGGGUUGGAAAGUUUCGGCGGUUGGGGAUGGACUCGCGGCUUAUCAGCUUGUUGGUGGGGUAGUGGCUUACCAAGGCUUUGACGGGUAGCCGGCCUGAGAGGGUGACCGGCCACAUUGGGACUGAGAUACGGCCCAGACUCCUACGGGAGGCAGCGGUGGGGAAUAUUGCACAAUGGGCGGAAGCCUGAUGCAGCAACGCCGCGUGCGGGAUGACGGCCUUCGGGUUGUAAACCGCUUUCGCCUGUGACGAAGCGUGAGUGACGGUAAUGGGUAAAGAAGCACCGGCUAACUACGUGCCAGCAGCCGCGGUGAUACGUAGGGUGCGAGCGUUGUCCGGGUUUAUUGGGCGUAAAGGGCUCGUAGGUGGUUGAUCGCGUCGGAAGUGUAAUCUUGGGGCUUAACCCUGAGCGUGCUUUCGAUACGGGUUGACUUGAGGAAGGUAGGGGAGAAUGGAAUUCCUGGUGGAGCGGUGGAAUGCGCAGAUAUCAGGAGGAACACCAGUGGCGAAGGCGGUUCUCUGGGCCUUUCCUGACGCUGAGGAGCGAAAGCGUGGGGAGCGAACAGGCUUAGAUACCCUGGUAGUCCACGCUGUAAACGGUGGGUACUAGGUGUGGGGUCCAUUCCACGGGUUCCGUGCCGUAGCUAACGCUUUAAGUACCCCGCCUGGGGAGUACGGCCGCAAGGCUAAAACUCAAAGGAAUUGACGGGGCCCCGCACAAGCGGCGGAGCAUGCGGAUUAAUUCGAUGCAACGCGUAGAACCUUACCUGGGUUUGACAUGGAUCGGGAGUGCUCAGAGAUGGGUGUGCCUCUUUUGGGGUCGGUUCACAGGUGGUGCAUGGCUGUCGUCAGCUCGUGUCGUGAGAUGUUGGGUUAAGUCCCGCAACGAGCGCAACCCUUGUUCACUGUUGCCAGCACGUUAUGGUGGGGACUCAGUGGAGACCGCCGGGGUCAACUCGGAGGAAGGUGGGGAUGACGUCAAGUCAUCAUGCCCCUUAUGUCCAGGGCUUCACGCAUGCUACAAUGGCUGGUACAGAGAGUGGCGAGCCUGUGAGGGUGAGCGAAUCUCGGAAAGCCGGUCUCAGUUCGGAUUGGGGCCUGCAACUCGACCUCAUGAAGUCGGAGUCGCUAGUAAUCGCAGAUCAGCAACGCUGCGGUGAAUACGUUCCCGGGGCU
rnacentral:rRNA from 1 species